rnacentral:rRNA from 1 species
AACGAACGCUGGCGGCAGGCUUAACACAUGCAAGUCGAACGGAUCCUUCGGGAUUAGUGGCAGACGGGUGAGUAACGCGUGGGAACGUACCCUUUGCUACGGAAUAACUCAGGGAAACUUGAGCUAAUACCGUAUGUGCCCUACGGGGGAAAGAUUUAUCGGCAAAGGAUCGGCCCGCGUUGGAUUAGCUAGUUGGUGGGGUAAUGGCCUACCAAGGCGACGAUCCAUAGCUGGUCUGAGAGGAUGAUCAGCCACACUGGGACUGAGACACGGCCCAGACUCCUACGGGAGGCAGCAGUGGGGAAUAUUGGACAAUGGGCGCAAGCCUGAUCCAGCCAUGCCGCGUGAGUGAUGAAGGUCUUAGGAUUGUAAAGCUCUUUCACCGGUGAAGAUAAUGACGGUAGCCGGAGAAGAAACCCCGGCUAACUUCGU